rnacentral:ncRNA from 1 species
AAAAAGUUUUUUGGCUUAGGAUUUUUAUAUAAUUUUUUAUUAAAUGUAAAUUUUAGUGAGAGAAAAUGUUUAAAUAAAAAAUUAAAUAGGUUGCAAUAAUUAAAUUUGGAUAUUUAAGAAAUUAAGAUUCAGAAAAUAUUAAAAGUUUAAAUUAAAUUUGUGCCAGCAAUUGCGGUUAUACAAAUUAUGCAAUAAUAAUAAAUUAGUAGUAGUUAUUUUUAUAAAAUAAAAUUAAGAAUAGUUUUAUUAGGUGAAAUUUUAAAAUUUUAAAUUUUUAGUAAAAAUUAAAGAAGCUAAAAAAAAUAAUAUUAAACUAGGAUUAGAUACCCUAUUAUAAAAAAUAAAUUAUUAUACUAGAUUAGUAAUAGUUAAAUUCUUGAAAAUUAAAAAAUUUGGCGGUAUUUUAGUCUAUUCAGAGGAACCUGUUUAGUAAUUGAUAAUCCACGAUUUAAAUUACUUAUUUUUUGAGUUUGUAUAUCGCUGUAGUUAAAUAUUUUUAUAGAAAAAUAAUAUUUAAAAUUUAUAUUAUAAAAUAAAUCAGGUCAAGAUAUAGUUUAUAAAUAAGAAUAAAUGGGUUACAUUUAAAAAAUUAAUGGAUUAUUAAUUUAAAUUAUUAGUAUGAAAUUGGAUUUGAUAGUAAUUUAGAAUAAAUAUUUAAGAUGAUUAUAGCUCUAAAAUAUGUACAUAUCGCCCGUCGCUUUCAUUUUAAGAUGAAAUAAGUCGUAACAUAGUAGAGGUACUGGAAAGUGUCUCUAGAAAAAU